rnacentral:rRNA from 1 species
AUAGCGUAUAUUAAAGUUGUUGCAGUUAAAAAGCUCGUAGUUGGAUUUCAAGGGUUGCAAGGUGGAUAACACCAUUGCACUCUACCAGUCUUUGACUGUUACUGUGAGAAAAUUAGAGUGUUUCAAGCAGGCUGUUGCAGGAAUACAUUAGCAUGGAAUAACGAAUGUGUCUAGAAUCUUGGUUAAUUCUAGAUUACGAUUAAUAGGGACAGUUGGGGGCAUUAGUAUUUAAUUGUCAGAGGUGAAAUUCUUGGAUUUGUUAAAGACUAACGUAUG